rnacentral:RNase_P_RNA from 1 species
GCAGUCCAAAGGCCGCGACGCCCGCUUCGUACAGGAUGUCUCCCAUCCACACCUGCGGGCACGGUCUGAGACCAUACUCCCCUCGAUCGGCUCUUGCUGGGUCCCAUCAUCAUGAUGGAGCAAUGCACCAGAAAUGUGCUUUCACCCGGAGAUGCUCUGCGGAGGGGUGCACACGCGGUGUUGAGAUGCGUUGCGGGGAUUGGGCGAUUUACAUUCCGUCUGU